rnacentral:rRNA from 1 species
AACGGCGAGUGAAGCGGUAAAAGCUCAAAUUUGAAAUCUGGUACUUUCAGUGCCCGAGUUGUAAUUUGUAGAAUUUGUCUUUGAUUAGGUCCUUGUCUAUGUUCCUUGGAACAGGACGUCAUAGAGGGUGAGAAUCCCGUUUGGCGAGGAUACCUUUUCUCUGUAAGACUUUUUCGAAGAGUCGAGUUGUUUGGGAAUGCAGCUCAAAGUGGGUGGUAAAUUCCAUCUAAAGCUAAAUAUUGGCGAGAGACCGAUAGCGAACAAGUACAGUGAUGGAAAGAUGAAAAGAACUUUGAAAAGAGAGUGAAAAAGUACGUGAAAUUGUUGAAAGGGAAGGGCAUUUGAUCAGACAUGGUGUUUUUUGCAUGCACUCGCCUCUCGUGGGCUUGGGCCUCUCAAAAAUUUCACUGGGCCAACAUCAAUUCUGGCAGCAGGAUAAAUCAUUAAGAAUGUAGCUACUUCGGUAGUGUUAUAGCUUUUUGGAAUACUGUUAGCCGGGAUUGAGGACUGCGCUUCGGCAAGGAUGUUGGCAUAAUGGUUAAAUGCCGCCCGUCUUGAAACACGGAC